rnacentral:rRNA from 1 species
UAGGGAAUAUUGGGCAAUGGACGAGAGUCUGACCCAGCCAUGCCGCGUGCAGGAUGAAGGCCUUCUGGGUUGUAAACUGCUUUUAUCUAGGAAGAAAAAACUCUUGCGAGAGGAACUGACGGUACUAGAGGAAUAAGCACCGGCUAACUCCGUGCCAGCAGCCGCGGUAAUACGGAGGGUGCCAGCGUUGUCCGGAUUUAUUGGGUUUAAAGGGUGCGUAGGCGGCCCAGUAAGUCCGUGGUGAAAGCCAACAGCUCAACUGUUGAACUGCCAUGGAUACUGCUGGGCUUGAGUACAGACGAGGUAGGCGGAAUGGAUGCUGUAGCGGUGAAAUGCAUAGAUAGCAUCCAGAACCCCGAUUGCGUAGGCAGCUUACUAGGCUGUAACUGACGCUGAGGCACGAAAGCGUGGGGAGCGAACAGG